CAGGCUUAACACAUGCAAGUCGAGGGGCAUCAGGAAGAAAGCUUGCUUUCUUUGCUGGCGACCGGCGCACGGGUGAGUAACACGUAUCCAACCUGCCCUUUACUCGGGGAUAGCCUUUCGAAAGAAAGAUUAAUACCCGAUAGCAUGAUGAUUCCGCAUGGUUUCAUUAUUAAAGGAUUCCGGUAAAGGAUGGGGAUGCGUUCCAUUAGGUUGUUGGUGAGGUAACGGCCCACCAAGCCUUCGAUGGAUAGGGGUUCUGAGAGGAAGGUCCCCCACAUUGGAACUGAGACACGGUCCAAACUCCUACGGGAGGCAGCAGUGAGGAAUAUUGGUCAAUGGGCGCUAGCCUGAACCAGCCAAGUAGCGUGAAGGAUGAAGGCUCUAUGGGUCGUAAACUUCUUUUAUAUAAGAAUAAAGUGCAGUAUGUAUACUGUUUUGUAUGUAUUAUAUGAAUAAGGAUCGGCUAACUCCGUGCCAGCAGCCGCGGUAAUACGGAGGAUCCGAGCGUUAUCCGGAUUUAUUGGGUUUAAAGGGAGCGUAGGUGGACUGGUAAGUCAGUUGUGAAAGUUUGCGGCUCAACCGUAAAAUUGCAGUUGAUACUGCCAGUCUUGAGUACAGUAGAGGUGGGCGGAAUUCGUGGUGUAGCGGUGAAAUGCUUAGAUAUCACGAAGAACUCCGAUUGCGAAGGCAGCUCACUGGACUGCAACUGACACUGAUGCUCGAAAGUGUGGGUAUCAAACAGGAUUAGAUACCCUGGUAGUCCACACAGUAAACGAUGAAUACUCGCUGUUUGCGAUAUACAGUAAGCGGCCAAGCGAAAGCAUUAAGUAUUCCACCUGGGGAGUACGCCGGCAACGGUGAAACUCAAAGGAAUUGACGGGGGCCCGCACAAGCGGAGGAACAUGUGGUUUAAUUCGAUGAUACGCGAGGAACCUUACCCGGGCUUAAAUUGCAGUGGAAUGAUGUGGAAACAUGUCAGUGAGCAAUCACCGCUGUGAAGGUGCUGCAUGGUUGUCGUCAGCUCGUGCCGUGAGGUGUCGGCUUAAGUGCCAUAACGAGCGCAACCCUUAUCUUUAGUUACUAACAGGUUAUGCUGAGGACUCUAGAGAGACUGCCGUCGUAAGAUGUGAGGAAGGUGGGGAUGACGUCAAAUCAGCACGGCCCUUACGUCCGGGGCUACACACGUGUUACAAUGGGGGGUACAGAAGGCAGCUAGCGGGUGACCGUAUGCUAAUCCCAAAAUCCUCUCUCAGUUCGGAUCGAAGUCUGCAACCCGACUUCGUGAAGCUGGAUUCGCUAGUAAUCGCGCAUCAGCCACGGCGCGGUGAAUACGUUCCCGGGCCUUGUACACACCGCCCGUCAAGCCAUGGGAGCCGGGGGUACCUGAAGUACGUAACCGCAAGGAUCGUCCUAGGGUAAAACUGGUGACUGGGGCUAAG
rnacentral:rRNA from 1 species